GUCUAUAGCCAUACCACCCAGAAUGUAUCCAAUCUCAUCUGAACUCAGAAGAUAAGCAGGAUCAGGCCUGGUUAGUUGGAUGGGAGAAAAGAAAAUGUAGGCA
rnacentral:rRNA from 1 species